GUGAGAGUGAAAUAAAUCAGAUCCUUUGUUUUUUUUUCUUUUUGUAAAAGAGUUAAGAUCUUUUCUUUGGUGAAGAGAAUGUCAGGGCAACCUCAACGGACAAGAUGUUUAAAUGAGGUUCUUAAUAAUUUUAUAUUUAUAUUUUAGUUCACUUUUUAUUUUACAAUUAAAUUUCAUUGUUUAUGAUGUAAUCUAACCAUUAAUAAAACGAUAUAUAUGAAAGAGGGUAUCACAUAAGGUUCUAAUAAAUACUUAUUUGAGAUCUGAUAUAUAUCUAAUUUUUUUUCUCUAAUUUUUUUAUUUUUUCUUAAUUGUUUAUUGUUGAGAUAUCCACAUAUGACUCAUAUUUAGAGACUAUACCUUUUCAGAUGAAGUAUGAAAAAG
rnacentral:lncRNA from 1 species